rnacentral:tRNA from 2 species
GGAGGAGUGGCCGAGUGGUUGAAGGCGGCGGUCUUGAAAACCGCUUCCCGGUUGCACCGGGACGGGGGUUCGAAUCCCUCCUCCUCCGCCA